GCCAGUGUGGUGUAAUGGUUAGAGUGUUGGACUAGGACUUAGGAAACUAGGGUUCAAGUCCCUACUUGGGCA